UGGGAUUUUGCUUUGUUUCUGAGUGGGAAAAUGCUAAACGGCCCUAUGGAGGUCUGUAAAACAAAUUCUAUCAUUUAUUAUUAUUAUUAUUAAUCAGGUUUAUGUGACAGAUGGCUUCUUUCCAAGUUUUCAGAAUAAGGACAAGAGUCGGAAAUGGACUGACAGAAUGAUAUCAACAACUGCGUAUUUCAAAGAAAUUAGAGAAGCUUCAGAGACUGUUUAUCAACCUUUAAACCCCCACAUGCCAUUUUUUAAAGAACCUCCACUGGCAAUGAGAUUCAUUAAGUCAAAGAAUAUUAGAGCUGGAAGAAACUUGGAAAUUAGACCUCCUCCUUUGUUAGACAGUUGGAACAGGAAGCCCAGAAAGGACAAGGGACUGGUCCGCGGUCACAGUGCCCGUCGAGCGCAGUCGGGCUGAUUUCCAGUUUCGACUCAGAGGGAAGCGUCUCAGCGAAAGGGCACCAUGUAUGAAGCUCACAUUCUGCUUUUUAUUACGUGAUCAUUGCGAGACAAGGAGUGAAAACUCAAUGAUUUGAAAUGCCUGGAAUCCUGCCACUUCAAGGCUGGCCCCGAGCAUGUGCAGUGACUGCAGAACCACCGCCAGAGGCACAGGCAGAGCCAGCCAUGGACUUCACCAGCUGCCACAGCUGCCUAGUCUCUGGAGAGUCCCUUACUCCUUUCAACCCUACUUCUUUCAUCAAACCCUAUGACCACGUUCUGAAUGGAUUCUUAUUUCACAUCCAAAUUGCAACCCAAAUUGCAAUCCAAAUACACAUUACAAAAUAAAUGUUGA